AGAUUACCUCCUGAUCUUCAAUCAACCAUAAGCUCCCAGAUUCGUCAGAAUUAUUCCACCGAGGUGGAGGCCGCCGUCAACCAUCUGGUCAACAUGCAUCUGCGGGCCUCCUACACCUACCUCUCUCUGGGCUUCUAUUUCGACCGUGACGAUGUGGCUCUGGAAGGUGUGGGGCACUUCUUCCGCGAGUUGGCUGAGGAGAAGCGGGAGGGCGCUGAGCGUCUCUUGAAGAUGCAAAACCAGCGCGGCCGCCGCGCCCUCCUCCAGGACGUCCAGAAGCCGUCCCAAGAUGAGUGGGGGAAAACCCUGGACGCCAUGGAAGCUGCCCUGGUUCUGGAGAAGAGCCUGAACCAGGCCCUUCUGGAUCUGCACGCCCUGGGUUCUGCCCGCACAGACCCCCAUCUCUGUGACUUCCUGGAGAACCACUUCCUGGUUGAGGAGGUGAAACUCAUCAAGAAGAUGGGCGACCACCUGACGAACCUCCGCAGGCUGGCUGGCCCCCAGGCUGGGCUGGGCGAGUAUCUCUUCGAGAGGCUCACCCUCAAGCACGACUAGGAGCUCCGGAGACCAGCAGCAUCCUUUGAGGAGCCCUCGCUGACAUCCGUGCCUCAGCCUCUCCCUGCAGCCAGAGGCAGCUUUGUAACCACCCUGGAGCCCUCUCCCAAGCCCUGGACCAAAUGGAAACAAUAAAGCUUUUUGCAGCAAAAAAAAAAAAAAA